AGCGAAACGGGAAGAGCCCAAACCAACAAGCUUGCUUGUUGGGGUUGUAGGACACUCUAUACGGAGUUACAAAGGACGACAUUAGACGAAUCAUCUGGAAAGAUGAAUCAAAGAAGGUAAUAAUCCUGUAGUCGAAAAUGUUGUCUCUCUUGAGUGGAUCCUGAGUACGACGGAGCACGUGAAAUUCCGUCGGAAUCUGGGAGGACCAUCUCCUAAGGCUAAAUACUCUCUAGUGACCGAUAGUGAACCAGUACCGUGAGGGAAAGGUGAAAAGCACCCCGGAAGGGGAGUGAAAUAGAACCUGAAACCGUGUGCUUACAAGUAGUCAGAGCCCGUUAAUGGGUGAUGGCGUGCCUUUUGUAGAAUGAACCGGCGAGUUACGAUUUGAUGCAAGGUUAAGCAGUAAAUGUGGAGCCGUAGCGAAAGCGAGUCUGAAUAGGGCGUUUAGUAUUUGGUCGUAGACCCGAAACCAGGUGAUCUACCCUUGGUCAGGUUGAAGUUCAGGUAACACUGAAUGGAGGACCGAACCGACUUACGUUGAAAAGUGAGCGGAUGAACUGAGGGUAGCGGAGAAAUUCCAAUCGAACCUGGAGAUAGCUGGUUCUCUCCGAAAUAGCUUUAGGGCUAGCCUCAAGUGAUGAUUAUUGGAGGUAGAGCACUGUUUGGACGAGGGGCCCCUCUCGGGUUACCGAAUUCAGACAAACUCCGAAUGCCAAUUAAUUUAACUUGGGAGUCAGAACAUGGGUGAUAAGGUCCGUGUUCGAAAGGGAAACAGCCCAGACCACCAGCUAAGGUCCCAAAAUAUAUGUUAAGUGGAAAAGGAUGUGGCGUUGCCCAGACAACUAGGAUGUUGGCUUAGAAGCAGCCAUCAUUUAAAGAGUGCGUAAUAGCUCACUAGUCGAGUGACACUGCGCCGAAAAUGUACCGGGGCUAAACAUAUUACCGAAGCUGUGGAUUGUCCUUUGGACAAUGGUAGGAGAGCGUUCUAAGGGCGUUGAAGCAUGAUCGUAAGGACAUGUGGAGCGCUUAGAAGUGAGAAUGCCGGUGUGAGUAGCGAAAGACGGGUGAGAAUCCCGUCCACCGAUUGACUAAGGUUUCCAGAGGAAGGCUCGUCCGCUCUGGGUUAGUCGGGUCCUAAGCUGAGGCCGACAGGCGUAGGCGAUGGAUAACAGGUUGAUAUUCCUGUACCACCUAUAAUCGUUUUAAUCGAUGGGGGGACGCAGUAGGAUAGGCGAAGCGUGCGAUUGGAUUGCACGUCUAAGCAGUAAGGCUGAGUAUUAGGCA
rnacentral:rRNA from 1 species